GGAAUUUAGAACGGCGACAAAAAUGUCGGAUAUCGCAUACGCAUAGCUUAUCGUUGACAGGUUAUAUCGGCAUCUGGUAGGACACGAAGUACACAACGUGUAGCACACGUGUCGAGGUUAUAAUAUCGAAAUUGAUAUCGAGGUGGUGACUACGAGAACCGAAUUAACCAUAAUGUUUGUUUGCUCGCAGAAAAGAAAAUCGGUGUCAUUUUUUUCCAAGUUUUACAAGAAAGAGAAAAAAACUUUAAACUUCAAUUUCCCCUUUAACUAUCCCGUUGUUCGCAAAUUUAUAAUAUAAUAAAUCAACCUGUCUGUUAUAAAGUACGAGAAAGUGGUAAAUGUCGGUAAUAAAAUGGCAAUUUUCACGAAACGAUCCAUAUUCGGUUGCAUUACGUGUAAUUAGCUAUAUCGAGCGUGGAUUAAAGCGACGCCUACUAUUUUGACAGUUAAUUAAUUGCGCCGGAGAGGGCCUGAUACACCAUGGAUUAAUACACCCCGGUUGGUCAGCGAAUUUCGUAAAACCUAGUUUUCGUUAAAUGAACGCUUCAACAGGAAUUAUAAAACUACGCGAAAAAGAAAUGUUUUUUUUGACAUCGUUUGAAUUUAAAAUAGAUAGACUCUUUCCGAGGAAAAUAAUUGAUAGAAAAAAAAAGAAAAGAAAAGAAAAAAAAAGAACGGUUAAUGCGAUUUAAAACGCGUAAGAAACGAACUAUGGCGAAAACGGAGAGAGAGGCAACAGGAGUAAUAGCAGUAGUCCGCAUCGGAGAUGGCUCGACGGUCCAUUAAAGUUGCAGCCUUUUUAUAUCGAGUCUGACCCCUCUCUGUGGAACGGGGCUUCUCCCUUUUCUCCGCUAACUUUCAAAUGGUUCGCGAUCGUCGUGUCAAACGGCGGCGAAUGGGCGAACGCGGUAGAAUAAAUGAGGAGGGGGGAGAGAGAGAGAAAGAGAGAAAGGAGGAAGGAAAGAGAACGAUAGCUACGUGAAUGGGGGAGGGGAGAAACAGCGAUACUACCGAUGGUAGACGCAGAGGGCAGCAUAGUAGGGAAACUAGGAAACUUAAAAAGAUGGCAAAGCUAUUCCCAUCAAAGAGAUCCUCGGUACAAAGACGCAGCCUCUGUUAUGCGAACUGCUACUCUAGCGAGCCGAGAAACGCGGUCAGUUAAACGCUCAUUUUCAAUCGUUUCACGAUACUAUACACGAUACUAUCCAACGUUUGUUCGUCGCCUGCGCGACUCGAAAAGAAGCAAGUAGCAUCGCUCUUUCGAAUAAUUGGAAUUUCGAAGUUCGGUGUCAUGCGAAAAUUCGAAUAUAAAGGGAGGAAUGGACACGACGGUGAUAAAUUCUUGCGUUGUCAGAUAGUGAACUGGCGUGAAUGGUUGGUAUGGAUGACCGAGUGGAAACGAGAAGGAUGACAAAGGAAAGCGGAAAAUCAAGUAGUCGGAAAGCAACGAGAGAGAGAGAGAAAGAG